rnacentral:rRNA from 1 species
GAUGAACGCUAGCUACAGGCUUAACACAUGCAAGUCGAGGGGUAACGAGAGGAAAGCUUGCUUUCCUUGUCGACGACCGGCGCACGGGUGAGUAACGCGUAUCCAACCUGCCCCCAACUAGGGAAUAACCUUGCGAAAGUAAGACUAAUACCCUAUAAUUUCCUCAGAUGUCAUCUGACGAGGAAUAAAGAUUUAUCGGUUGUGGAUGGGGAUGCGUCUGAUUAGCUCGUUGGCGGGGUAACGGCCCACCAAGGCAACGAUCAGUAGGGGUUCUGAGAGGAAGGUCCACCACAUUGGAACGGAGACACGGUCCAAACUCCUACGGGAGGCAGCAGUGAGGAAUAUUGGUCAAUGGGCGGAAGCCUGAACCAGCCAAGUAGCGUGCAGGAUGACGGCCCUAUGGGUUGUAAACUGCUUUUAUACAGGAAUAAAGUUAGCCACGUGUGGUUAUUUGUAGGUACUGUAUGAAUAAGGACCGGCUAAUUCCGUGCCAGCAGCCGCCGUAA